rfam:Salmo salar isolate Sally breed double haploid chromosome ssa06, whole genome shotgun sequence.
UGCACACAUGACUGUAAGGCGCUUUGGAUAAAAGUGUCUGCUAAAUGGCAUAUA